rnacentral:rRNA from 1 species
UACGGGGGGAGCAAGCGUGGUUCGGAUUUACUGGGCGUAAAGGGCGCGUAGGCGGUCGUGACAAGUCACUUGUGAAAUCUCCGGGCUUAACUCGGAACGGUCAAGUGAUACUGUCGGACUAGAGUACAGAAGGGGCAACUGGAAUUCUCGGUGUAGCGGUGAAAUGCGUAGAUAUCGAGAGGAACACCUGCGGCGAAGGCGGGUUGCUGGGCUGAUACUGACGCUGAGGCGCGAAAGCCAGGGGAGCGAACGGG